rnacentral:rRNA from 1 species
UACAGAGGGAGCGAGCGUUAAUCGGAAUUACUGGGCGUAAAGCGCACGUAGGUGACGACGUAAGUCGGGUGUGAAAGCCCCGGGCUCAACCUGGGAAUUGCAUUCGAGACUGCAUUGCUAGAGUACGGAAGAGGAGGGCGGAAUUCCCGGUGUAGCGGUGAAAUGCGUAGAUAUCGGGAGGAACAUCAGUGGCGAAGGCGGCCCUCUGGUCCAGUACUGACACUCAAGUGCGAAAGCGUGGGGAGCAAACAGG